rnacentral:rRNA from 1 species
AUUGAACGCUGGCGGCAGGCUUAACACAUGCAAGUCGAACGAGUGGCGGACGGGUGAGUAAUGUCUGGGAAUCUGGCUGAUGGAGGGGGAUAACUACGGGAAACGGUCGCUAAUACCGCAUACCAUAGGAUGUGCCCAGGUGGGAUUAGGUAGUGGGUGGGGUAAAGGCCUACCAAGCCGACGAUCCCUAGCUGGUCUGAGAGGAUGACAAGCCACACCGGGACUUGGCCACGGUCCGGACUCCUACGGGAGGCAGCAGUGGGGAAUAUUGCACAAUGGGGGCAACCCUGAGACAGCCAUGCCGCGUGAAUGAAGAAGGCCUUCGGGUUGUAAAGUUCUUUCGGUGACGAGGCGUUAAUCACAGAAGAAGCACCGGCUAACUCCGUGCCAGCAGCCGCGGUAAUUC